rnacentral:sRNA from 1 species
UUGGCGCCUUCUGCGCGCUUGGGAUCCCGGAGCCUACCUAGGUUCUGCGUGCUCCCGCCCAGGCCGGUGCCCGCUGCCCGCCUGCGCCCCAGGCGGGUCUCAGGCCCCGGCUGCUCCCGGCCGAAGGUGGGGACGGGCAGUGGCAGGCACCGCUAGCGAGGGCGUUUGGGGACCCAGGGUGACCACAGCGCAGCCAUGGGGACCGCGCUUGUGUACCAUGAGGACAUGACGGCCACCCGGCUGCUCUGGGACGAGUAAGUGGGACCUGGCCGAGGUGGGGUGCGGGGAGGGACCUCUGGACUGAACUCCUCAUCUGCCCCAGCCCCGAGUGCGAGAUUGAGCGUCCUGAGCGCCUGACCGCAGCCCUGGACCGCCUGCGGCAGCGCGGCCUGGAACAGAGGUGUCUGCUGUUGUCAGCCCGCGAGGCCUCGGAAGAGGAGCUGGGCCUGGUGCACAGCCCAGAGUAUGUAUCCCUGGUCAGGGAGACCCAGGUCCUAGGCAAGGAGGAGCUGCAGGCGCUGUCCGGACAGUUCGACGCCAUCUGCUUCCACCCGAGUACCUUUCACUGUGCGCGGCUGGCCGCAGGGGCUGGACUGCAGCUGGUGGACGCUGUGCUCACGGGAGCUGUGCAAAAUGGGCUUGCCCUGGUGAGGCCCCCAGGGCACCACAGCCAGAGGGCGGCUGCCAACGGGUUCUGUGUGUUCAACAACGUGGCCAUAGCAGCUGCACAUGCCAAGCAGAAACACGGGCUACACAGG